rnacentral:lncRNA from 1 species
GUUUAAUAAUUCAUUUAUGAACCUUGAAUCUCCGUAAUUGAACCCUUCAACUGUACUUGUUAUGAUCUGCAUAUUUUUAUGUUUAUUUAUGUUUUGUUUUAUUUAUUUAUCUAGUUAUUUAUUUGUAAACCUUAAAUCUCUGUAACUGAACCCUUCAACUGUACUUGUAAUGACCUGCAUUUGUUGUACCUGUUCAUGUUUGGCAAUGGUCCUUUGUGUGCUGUUGUAUGUCUCUGAUUUCCUCCAAACAUGAGCAGGUCUGAUGAGGUGACCGCUGUUGUCCUGGAGGAACUGUUGCGAUAGAAGCUUAAAACGUCCUGCGCCGUCCGGGAAAUCCAACGGUCAUCAUUGCGUUGAAGGAAGCAUGUAAUAAACCAGGUCCUGCAUUCUGAUAAAUUAAUCCAUAUUCAGUUUCAAACAGAUUUUCUAAUCUGCACCUCCCCUUUGAGCAUUUUUCUGCAUCCCUCAGCAUGUGUGUGUGUGUCUCUCUGCUUUUCCCCAAACAUCACAGCAGUGAGCAGCUUCAGUGUUGUCUUCAGGAAGGAUCUGGAUCACCUAUGGAGUCAGGCAUCCUUGAGCUGCAGGUAAGAUGAGACGGCGAACACCACUGAACACACCGUCCUAUUGUCACCUAAAAAAUUAAAUGCUUCAACUCCAGGAACAACUUUUCUUUGGUUAUUGAUGGUUUUCACAAAGGUUCAUGGUGACAGGUGGUUAAGGCCCACCUGAGCUUGAUCUCUGACUGUUUUUAUGUUGAUAACGUUUAAGGUUGGGUCAGUUUUUCCACUGUCAUAACUAUAACCUCUCUUCAAAAGCCAGUAGGUGAUGCUGCAGCUUUGUAUAUUUAGUGAGUGUUGUGUUGUUUGCAUUGAAGCAGGUGUCCUCCAGGAUGUGGAUGCAGGAGAAUAUGUGAUGGUUGUGAUGGCUUAGGCAGCGCUCAUGAUGUCCCAACUCCUGGACCCUGUAAGGAAAGACACAGACAGAACAUCAACACGGACAACUGGAGGUCAGGUUAAUUUUGGUUUGACAACAACCUCACCAACAAAAACCACAAAAACAAGAACCCCUACCGUUAACCAGCGCAGCAGUAUAGACCCCCAAAAUAAGUCCACUAUCAGAUUUAAUUAAACAAAAUAGCAACUCAGUCCUCAAAAACCUGUUAAUCAGCAAAUUUACCAAAGCAAAAAUGAGAGUUCACAAGAAUUAAAAUAUAACUUUUUAUUUAAUUUAACUGAGAAAAGUAGAAAGGUACAAGUCAAUGUUACAGCAAUGAAAAACAAAAUAAAUAUUCACAUAUAUCCAUACCUUUUAAAUGAAUAUAAAUACAUUUAAAAAAAAUAAAAAAAUAAACAUAUUAAAAUUACUACCCCAAACACAAACCACCCCCUUGGAUCCAGAUUCCAGCUACUAGUUUCUUUGCAGCUGUGAUUCCCGCCAGCAAUGCUCUCCUCUCCUCCAGUGUGAAACCCAGCCCAGACAAAUCAUUCAAAAUAAGUGUAACGGGCAAACAAAGCAACCUGAUCUUCAACUACUUGGAUAGAUUCAAGGCAACCAUUUUCCAAAAUUCUGCCGCUGGUGUACUCUCCCAGAACACGUGAAAAUAACUGCCGAUCGCAUUUGAAGAACAUAACGUACAUGUAGGAUCAUUUAUAACUUUCAUCAAAUGAAGCUUCCGAGGAUUUAAGUAUACUCUUUGUAAAUAAUUAUAGUGUAUUUGUUGAUGGUCAGGAUUUCUGGAUGCUAAGCGUACAUCAACCCAUACUCUAUCCCAAUGAAAUGUAACUCUAAGAUCUGGAAUAUCUUUCCUCCAUAUUUUAUCUAAUGUCAGAGGUCUGUAAGAGUGUCGUAACACGAGCCAACAAAGUCUUGAGACAAAACUACCUGUGCUUCUAGAAGAAUCAAACAAUUUGCGAAUUGGGUGUGUUACAAGAGGGCUCUGCAAUGAAAUACCAUCGUUUUCUAAGAAAGAUCUCAGUUGCAAAUAAAGGAGAAAGUUUCGCAUUAUACCAUAUUUAAUAAAAAUGUUCUAAAAAAGUAAGUAACCCCUGCUCCCCAAAGAUUGACUAUAACUUCCUGAGGAAAAACUGAAGUUGGUAAUCAUUUUCAUCAGUCAGGUUGCGUCACCAGGAUUAGGUCUGUUUUGGUGAUGUGCUUUCGGAGAGCAACUUUUCCCGCCCAAGUAGCAGGUUUUCGUCCAGAUGUCGUUCAUUUUGAGGAUGCGAUUUUGGACAUCACCACCAUGGAUGAGAACAAGAAGACCAUUCAGAAGGACUAAAGGAACCCAAGUGGCAGGAGGGAGUGAAAAAGGUAUACAGGAUAGAGAAGAUAACAGCACACCUUCAUCCUUAGAUGGACAUUUUCACAACAAGAUGGGGCCCCGUAAGCAAAUACUUAGACCGACCAAUGUGAACCAUUGUCAAGCUAUGUUAUCUUAGAACUGUCCAAGUGUGAUAUAGAAGAAUGUCAGAAACAGUCCGGUGACUGAGUGUUUACCAAACUGUUACUUCUUUGACUGGUCAGUCUGUACAUUUCAUGAUCUACAUGUGGAGUUUUAUUUUUUUAUUCAUAUGUAUGUAACAGAAAACUGAUGUGAACUUAAAGAUAUGUGUGUAAAAAAAGAAGAAAAAAAAAACACAAAAGAGGACAAUAAACUGUGUCGGUCAUCCUCGCUUUUUUUUUUGUUAAAAACUGUAAUUUUACUUAUUUUGUGAACCUUAAAUCUCUGUAACUGAACCCUUGAACUGUACUUGUCGUGACCUGCAUGUGUUGUACCUGUUCAUGUUUGGCCAUGGUCCUUUGUGUGCUGCUGUAUGUCCCUCAUUUCUUCCAAACAUGAGCAGGUCUGACGAGGUGACCGCUGUUGUCCUGGAG